rnacentral:rRNA from 1 species
UACGUAGGGUGCGAGCGUUGCCCGGAUUUACUGGGCGUAAAGGGCGCGUAGGCGGCUUAACAAGUCACUUGUGAAAUCUCCGGGCUUAACUCGGAACGGCCAAGUGAAACUGUCAAGCUAGAGUGCAGAAGGGGCAAUCGGAAUUCUUGGUGUAGCGGUGAAAUGCGUAGAUAUCAAGAGGAACACCUGAGGUGAAGACGGGUUGCUGGGCUGACACUGACGCUGAGGCGCGAAAGCCAGGGGAGCAAACGGG